AGCCAUAUAGCAGAACUAGUUAGAGUGCACGCACGAUAAGCGUGAGGUCGAUGGUUCGAGUCCAUUUAGGCCCA
rnacentral:tRNA from 1 species